GAUUAACGCUGGCGGCGUGCAUAACACAUGCGAGUCGAACGAUGAAGAUUAUUAGACUUCUUCGGAAUGAAAAUAAUUGGAUUAGUGGCGGACGGGUGAGUAACGCGUGAGUAACCUGCCUUACACAAGGGGAUAGCCGUUGGAAGCGACGAAUAAUACCCUAUGAAACUAUCACUUCGCAUGAAGCGAUAGUCAAAGUGUUAGCGGUGUAAGAUGGACUUGCGUCUGAUUAGCUAGUUGGUGAGAAAAAAGCCCACCAAGGCAACGAUCAGUAGCCGGCUUGAGAGAGUGUACGGCCACAUUGGGACUGAGACACGGCCCAGACUCCUACGGGAGGCAGCAGUGGGGAAUUUUGCACAAUGGGGGAAACCCUGAUGCAGCGACGCCGCGUGAUUUAGAAGGCCUUCGGGUUGUAAAAAUCUUUUGUAUAGGAAGAAAAUGACAGUACUAUACGAAUAAGGUCCGGCUAAUUACGUG
rnacentral:rRNA from 1 species